rnacentral:lncRNA from 1 species
GUUGGCUGAGAGCGUCAUCCAGGAAGUCUAAACCCAGAAUUACCAAAUACUCCAAGCAGAUGCUGACAAAGGCAAAAGCUGUGCCACCUCAUACUGGACGUAAGCCGCAUGCUUCUAAUUUAGAAUAAAAUCACAUAAAUGCUGAAUGUUGAUGCAAUUAUUUAAGAAUGGUGAUAAUCCCAUACGUUCUUUUACGGCAUAUGAUUUCCCAGAGUUACUGCCAUCCUCCCCAAAACCUGUAUGGAAUAGUACCAAAUCCAGCUGUAAGGUAAGGGAGUAUUCUAUUCUUUUUUAGUAUAGUUCAGUUUAGUGUAGUUAGUAAAUAAUAUGCCAUAAAUGUAAGAUGCACUCCCCUAAUCAGCCACAGUGUGUCAUUGUUUUAUCAAAAGAUGGUGAAAGCACUGGAUCAGCCAAGGAAAACCUUGAAGCCUGAAGCAGCAUCCAGGACACCACAUAUGGCUGUCUAUAGACCCAAAAGAGCUGCAGCCAUCUCUACCAAAAGCUACAAGGAGCCAGAUACUGAUGACAGCCUGUCAGAAGUGGCGGAUUCUCCUACUCGCAAAAGAGAGCAGAGGAAAAAUGAGACCUAUUCAGAGGCUCCAGAGAAGAAGAGAAAAGGCACUUUCUCUGAACAAACCACAGGACCAAACUACAGGAAAGGAGAGUGCGACAACCAGUCAAAUUUGAAAAAGCCAGCUGCUUUGAAGAAGUUGAAUACGAAAAACGCCAUCACUGCCCAAGAACAAAUGAAGGAGUCCUGGACCUCAUGCCAGACCUCUUCUUGUCCAUCCCCUCCUGUCAUUGAGAAAAUGAGAUCUGUUGAGAUGUCAGUCCCAACCUUGGAUUUGACCUGCUCCCUUCUCCUUACCCCGCGGGGAUCCCAUCUUCCUCCCUCCCCUAAUCCUCCCUGCCAGGACACCCCUUCACCAGUUAUGCAGCUACCCAAGCCUUGCUCAACAGUCAGCAGAAAGGAAAACUGCAACCUGUCGGUCUGUGGUGCA